rnacentral:lncRNA from 1 species
CCCAACUAUUAUUAUUAUCAAAAUUAAAGAUUUUCUUGCUAAAGAGUUCAAAGCUCUUCUCUGAAACUAAAGGUUGCAACACGUGGACUGAGAAAUCCCCUCCUAUGUAUCUGCCUACAUUACUAUUUCGAGAGGUUAAAAUUAUCCUACUACCAAUUUUUGAAUCACAUUCAGGAAGGACAAGUUUUAGAUCAUCCCAAAUUUCAACAUUCCAAAUGUCAUCUAAGAGAAUAACAUACCUUUUUAUUUUCAAGAGUGAUCGUAGGUUGUUCUCCAAGUUUUCUUUCCUUUCCUCUUCCGUCAGUCCAACUUGUUUGGCUAUGUCGGUUAAGAUUUCUCGCGCCCUUGGCUGUUGUGAAAUGUAGACCAAUCCCGAACACUCAAAUUGAUCACGGACAAGCCUAUAAAGUUUCUUGGCAAGAGUUGUUUUUCCUAGACCGGGCAUGCCAACUAUUGAAACAACUCCAUAAGGCAAAUCUUGAUCAAGUAAUUUGGCUUGUAGUGUAUUGAAGUCAUCUUCCAGACCGAUGACCUCUGUUUCAUUUGCAUGAAGGAACAAUCUUCUCUGGUCCAAUGGAAUGCAAUCAUUGUUGUUAUUUGUAUCCAUGAUGUUGUAAGUUGUCCUUACACGAUCAAUGUCCGCAACCCUUCUUUUUAUCUUCUCAAUCUCCCUAGCAAACUCAUCCGCAAAAGAAACCGUCUUUAGGCAACAAAUUGCGCCCUUGAACUUAUUGGAUUGUUCAAUUUUGGGAAGGAAGUCAUCUAAGAGAUCCUCCACAUCACCUGCCAGUUGUUGAAUAUCUUUUAUCAAGUUUUUCACACUUGUAUCGCCUUCAAUUGCCUUGUCCUUUGCGUUGUCUAUGUAUGAUCGAAUGUGUCUCAUUUCUCUCUGGAGCCAAUCGAUGUCUUCUUUCAACCAAUAUAAACGCGUUCCUUCUUGAAAGAGUACAUUUCCAGCUAUUUCAACAGAUUUAUUGAUGACUGCUGUGAGAAGAAUUUCAGCCAUUUCUUUUUCAGUAGCUACAAAAAAUUGAUCAGAAUGAGUAAUUAGAAAGAAGAAGAUAAUUGGUAAAGGAAAAGAAAGGUAAGCUUAGAAUAGUUGGAGUCAACUGCCAAGUCUCCUAAUAAUGUCAAGUAAAUGAAAAACGAAAGAAGAAAGGAACAACACAUGCUCUGGAUAAGAAACUGGUUGAAUAGUCAAAGGAAAUAACACCGUUCGUUCCAAUUUAAAUGUCAUUCUAUUUAAUUCGAUAUAGAAUUUAAGAAACAAACAGUGACUUUUAAUAUUUUGUGGCGGAUUAUUGAUAAUGUACCUUUUUAAAAAAAAAAUUACGUAACUAAGCAAACAUCUUUAGACAGUGGCGUACGCAAGAUAUUUCAUAAGAGGUGUCACAUUUUAAAAUAAAAAUAAAUAAUUAAAAAAUUAAGAUUUAUUUUAGCAUUUUUAUGUGUGUAGCGAAAUAUAUUUAAAUUAAAAAAAUUAACCAAGAAAGAAAAAGGCGGUAUUGAUGUUCGAACACCCAACUUCAAACCAGAAGAUAAGUACCCUAACCUACUGAGCUACGCUCCUAUUUGGUUUAAGGAGUGUCACUUUAUUGUAUUUGUUCUUUGUUUACAAUUUGCUUUCCAAUUAUUUAGAAUUAUUUAAUAAAAAAAUUCGACGAAGCCGUGUCAUGUGACACACCUUCGCCUAAGGUAAAUCCGCCCUGUCUUUAGUAUAUAACUAUCAAUCACACCAUAUGUUAAAAAAAUGUAUUAUAUAUCUAGACGCCAUUUUAUGUUUCCUAACUGUUUGAUGAACGUCUUGCAAAACUUUGCCCAAUUUGGUUCAUGGCUGUGAGUUUGGGCUAUUAUGAGAUUCAAUUUGUAUGUUCCAUGAAAAUUAGGCUUUUAUGCAAUUUGACUCUCUCAAAAUCUUUUGCCAUACUCAUACAGAGUGGGCGUUCGGUUUGAUAUUUAUUUAACUUUGAUUUGAUUUGGUCGUGAGAUAUCAUCAUAAUGACUCGAGUAGAAUGGUCGGAAUUUCUUCACUUUUCUGAUAAGGAGUGUUCUGUUCUAAAUUUACUAAUUCGACUAAUUCAAAUUUGUAUCACGUAAUACUGAUUUGAGAAAGAAAUACUUUUUAUCCAAAAAAAAAUCAUUUUCAGAGCUCGAAUUGAUUUUUUUUUUUGGUUUCAUUACGUGUAAUUUUCAAGUCCUUGUGGUAUCACAACACAGGUUAGGAUAUUUGGAGGUUAUUUCACAAGGACUUACAACAAGAAAAGAAAAAAAAAAGAUAUAAUUUGAGGAAAAUAUGAAAGUCUUGCAUUAAAGUUAAAAAAAAAGUAGUAGUUGUUUGCUCGUGAAGUUCAAAUAUUUUUCACUAAAAUUUAUAGAAUUGAAAUUGAAAAUAGAGUUAGGUUUAAAUUAUUUUUUUCUUGCGAAUGAAAGAACCGAACGAUUGGAGAUUGGAGAAUUUUACCAUCAAACUGCUUUUGAAAUAAAGUGAAAAAUUAUUUCGAAAAAAAAUAUAAAUAAUUCACAUAACAUCCUAAAAUAGCUUUCUCAAUCUCGACAAUUGCUCAUUUAUAAACUACGGAAAAUGGUCAAAAUUGCCCCUGCACUAUGUGAAAUAGACCACUUAUACCCUCCGUUAUAUUUUACGAUAAAAAAUGCCCGGUGUUAUCCUAAGAGACCACAAUUACCCUUAAGACUUAACAGAAAUGAUGCGGCAAGCCACAUGACACUAAUUCCGCCACCUAGGCUUGCCAACUAGGAUACUCACUAAAUUUUUUGACCCAAUUAAUAAUUCAACCCUAACCCAUUUUUGUUGGACCCAACCCACUAAAAUUAAGAGGGAAACAUCAUCUUUUUUUCACCUCAUUCCGUUUUACUAUUAAAUUCACCAAGGACGAUUUUUUGAAGACUUUUACGAGCUUAGCUUACUUGGACCAUGAUUGUGUGCCGCCAUAGAUUUAAAAACUAUGCUCUGGCACCAUUCUAUGCUUAGAAAGCUUGGGCUUGUGUUUUAUGUGGCUUUCCAAAAAAAUUUUGAGAAGCUCCACUUUUGUGAUGAUUAUACCCCACAACCACAAGUUUCUACGUUUUUAGCUUGUCGUCUAGCGGAUUAGCACUACGACAAAUAUAGGAGGGUGAUUGAUAAAAUGUGAAUACAAGAUUAUAAACAUGUAGGGGCAUAUCAAUGUUGCAUCCAUUUGUCUCUUACAGUGAUGAAUUUCAAUGAUUUUGGUUAUAAAGUAUAACACCAUAGAACCAUAAAGUUAAAUUUUCAAGCUUAUGUAUCUUUUCUAGUCCAUUGUGUCAUUAGAUUUUAAAGCUAGCAUUCCUAAGGUAGAGAUGUAAGGUAAACAAAAUAUUUUGCAGGCAAGAGAAACAAAUUAUAUAAAAAUCUUUUGCUUCCCCUGCUUAUUUACAACUAAUUUAUCAAUGAGUUAUUACUUUAAUUUCUUCCCUGGUUUUUUAUAACUUCAUCAAUGUACAUAUAUAUAUAUAUACUUUUGCCUUCAUAAACUUUGGGAGGUUUACAACUCCUUAAAAAAACAGCAAAUUGUUGUACCUUCUCCUCGUUAAUACUGGGUUUGAAACAGAACAUGUGGACUGCAGAUGGAACGGUUAGUUCAACCUCAUGGCUACAACCAAGCUUGAAGUAUAUAGAAGGUUUUGUCCUUACGAUUUGGACAAUAUUCAAAACUUUCAAAAUCUUUCAUCAUGACAAAACAUUAAGGAGUGAGUACGUUCUGGUUGUUGGCAUGUGAUUAAGAGGUUAGUAUGGAUCGAGUUUUGAAAAUAGACUCUUACAAAAAAUACUAAUAAAAUUACAUAUAAUAGAUUCUUGUGAUCCAUCUCUUCUUUGGACUCCGCAUAUAACCGGAAUUUAGUACACAUGGUUAAUAAGUUAUUUAUUUUUUUAUUAUCUUUUUGCAUAAUUGAGAUGCCACUUUUGCUCAUUUUAUAUUCCCUGCUAGUAGAAUUUAAGAAGGUUUACAUGAUUUAUCCACUCUUACAAUCCUAUAUUUCAAGACCUGUAUUAUUUUUAUUGACUAAACAUGGAUAAUGAUAACUACUGUCAAUACUAUUAAAAAUGUUUUCCACGUUAGAGUUGUGGGUUCGAGAAUAGCAGGCUUUAAAUUUGGUAGUUGGAGAAAUGCAUUGCAAGUUAUUUAUAAUGUGGUUCUAUCGUCUACAUUGAGGUGUGAAUAAUUUUGCAAUAAAUUAUUCUAUCCGUUUAUUUUAACUUAUUACAUUUCGUUUUGAGAUUCAAACUAUAUGAAUUUGGAUCAAUAUUUUAAGAUGAAUAAUUUUGCAAUAAAUUAUUACAUCCGUUUAUUUCAACUUAUUACGUUUCAUUUUUUGAGAGUCAAACUAUAUGAACUUUGAUUAACAUUUUAAGAUGAAUAUUUUUGCAAUUAAUUAUUCUAUCCUUUUAUUUUAACUUAUUACGUUUCGUUUUUUGAGAGUUAAAUGAUAUAUAUAUGAACUUUGAGAUGUAUUUUUUCAUCAUAUUAAUAUGAGAAAGAUUGAUCAUAUAUAGUUUUUAAAUAUUUAAAUUUAAAAUUUAAAAUAUUGAGUGAAUUUUAUUCAAUUUGACUCUCAAAGUUAAUCAAAUUAACUCUCAUGAAACAUGACAAAUAAAUCCAUUUUCUUGGUUUUCCACCCGGUACUCACAUCCAAAUCGUUCCACGCAUAUUCAGAAUUAUGGAGUAUUAAAUGAAAUAUUUAGUUCAUGAACUAACUAGUACAAAUUUUUUAAAAUCACCUUAUCGAGCAUAUUAAAUGUAAAUAGUUAACGCAGUAAACUAACCUGUGAGAUUUUCAUAUUCUCAGCUUUGCAAGCCGUUUGGAAAGACUUAUUAGGGAACGGAGUCUUACAAGUAAUAGCAAUAUUGCCGAGAUCACCAAAUGCAUUGUGCUCGGUGUGAGAGGUUGCAUGAAAUUUCUUAGUCUAGCAUUUCUCAUUUGUAUAUCUUUUACGAUUCUAUCUAUUAAUGAUUUUUGUAUAUAUUUGAUUGACAUAUUUCUAUAUUUUCCAACCCAUAGGUAUUUGUAUAAUAUUUUAUAUUUAUGCAAAUCAUCAUAUAAGCAAGAAAUCCGAAUCAAAGAGUAAAUAUAUCAAAAUUUUCAAAAAGAUACCAUACAUACACCACAAAUAAGGUCUACUUUUUUCUAUUGAGAAUAAGAUUUUAAUUUUAUUACUCCAUUAAUUAAAGAUAAAUAAACAUAAAACAAAACAAAGAGAAAUACAGUAUUAAUUUGUUUUUACAAAUCACAAGCAAUUAACUUGAAACAGCAAUCAAACUUUUUCUCUUAUUAUUAGUAUUAUAAUACCAACAGGCAUCAGAAGAUUCUCUCCAACACAGACUUAAAUCAUUUUCAAAGGCAUCCCUGCAAUUUAUUAGAGAUGGAAUAUUUAGUUGAUGAACUAAAUACAAAUUUCAAAAAAUCAUGGAUAUUAAACGUAAAUAAUUAUUUAUAGUACCUGUGAGAUUUUUAUAUUCUCAACAUUGCAAGCCGUUCCGAGACCCUGAGACUAAUUGGGGAAUAAAUGAAUGGGCCUUGUACAAGUAAUAGCUUUUUCAAUUUAGGCAUACUCAUAUCAUCCAUGCACGUUACUUCAGACAACCCUUGUGCAUCCUCAAUAUGUAAAACUUCAAGUUGCGGAAAGCUAUCACCAGAGAGAUCCAUUUUUUCUGCAUCAUGUCUGCACCUAAGCAAUGUAAGUAUCCUUAAUUUGGGCAAUUUCUUAAGCACUGCCAAUAGAUGACCGUCUACCAUCAAGCCGACAAGAGUAAGCUUGACAAGAUUUGGAGGGAAUGCUUCAAUGUUCAAGAGCAUUGCUCUGGAACCAAACAAAACCAAUUUGACAAUAUUUGGAUGGGACGACAAGUUUAUUUGCUCACUCGUGUUCUUGAAAAUUCUGAGCUUCAGAACCUCCAACGCUUUAGGCACAGGGCUCAAUGCUGAUAAUAUCUUAAUGGUAGAACCGGAUACAUCCUUUAUACACAAUGUUCUUAAAUUUAUCAAUCGGUGCAACAAUCUCGGUUCACAAAAUUUAUCAUCCACCCACAUCAAAGUUUGUAGAUUAUUACGAGGCAAUGAGUACACGUUUGGAAAAAAUGGGUUUAUACAAAAGUAAUUGUAAGGUGCUAGAUUAUAACCUAUAGAACGAAGAUGUCUCAAUUGUGUAGACUUCCAAACACCAGUAGGAAGUUUAAUAAAGAAGCUUUUACCAAUAUCUAGGGUCUCUAGAUGUUUGAGCUUCACCAUACAAUUUGGCAGUUUCCCAUUGCACGAAGCUUCUCAAGCUUAGUAUUUGAACGGAAGAACUCAUUCAUGGCAUUAUUAUCAGAGUAGAAUGUAAUCCUUCGCACCCUAGCAACAUUGCUGGGAUCACCAAAUGCAUUGUGCUCGGUGUGAAAGAAGUUACUUUCCUUAGCCAAAUCCACACACAAACUAUGUAACAAGUCAUGUAUGCGACAACUUGAAAUUCUUCCAUCAUAUGUCCUUUCGACAACUUGAAUCAAGUUUCUAGAAACCAAAUCAUUUAGGAUAUCCUCUGCCAAACUUUCAGCCUCUCGCCUAUUACCACUAUAGUUUACAACUAUCAACUUCUCAGCAAUCCACAUAUUUGUCAGAUCAAAAGCACGAAUUUCAUGGUCCUCGGGGUAAAGGCCAAAAUACAAGAAACAUGGCCUUAAUGCAAUUGGCAAAUCAUUGUAACUCAGAGCCAAUACCUUAGCACAUCCAUCUUGAAUUUUAUGACCCAUACUCUCAAGUACUCUGUUCCAUGCACGUUCUGUUCUUUCUCUUGCCCUUAACAUGCCUGCGGUCACCUCAAUGGCUAGAGGUAUACCUCCACAUCUUCCAACUAUACUUCUACCAAUAUCUACCAAGUCUGGUGAAGCAUUGGCCCAAUUAUUAUUGUUAUCAAAAGUAAAGAUUUUCUUGGUAAAGAGUUCAAAACUGUUUUCCGAAUCUAGAGGUUGCAACACGUGUAUUGAGAAAUCCCCUCCUAUGUAUCUGCCUACAUUACUAUUUCGAGAGGUUAUAAUUAUCCUACUGCCAAUUUUUGAAUCACAUUCAGGAAGGACAAGUUUUAGAUCAUCCCAAAUUUCAACAUCCCAAAUGUCAUCUAAGAGAAUAACAUACCUUUUUAUUUUCAAGAGUGAUCGUAGGUUGUUCUCCAAGUUUUCUUUCCUUUCCUCUUCCAUCAGUCCAACUUGUUUGGCUAUGUCAUGUAAGAUUUCUCCCGCCCUUGGCUGUUGUGAAACAUAGACCAGUCCCGAACACUCAAAUUGAUCACGGACUUGCCUAUAAAGUUUCUUGGCAAGAGUUGUUUUUCCUAGACCGGGCAUGCCAACUAUUGAAACAACUCCAUAAGGCAAAUCAUGAUCAAGUAAUUUGGCUUGCAGCUUAUUGAAGUCAUCAUCCAAACCGAUGACCUCUGUUUCAUCAGCAUGAAGGAAUAAUCUUCUUUGGUCCAAUGGAAUGCAAUCAUCACUAUUGUUGUUACUUGUAUCCAUGAUGUUGUAAGUUGUCCUUACACGAUCAAUGUCAGCAACUCUUCUUUUUAUCUUCUCAAUCUCCAUAGCAAACUCAUCCGCAAAAGAAACCGUCUUAAGGCAACAAAUGAAAUUAUUGGAUUGUUGAAUUUUUGGAAGAAACUCAUCUAAUAGAUCCUCCACAUCACCUGCCAGUUGUUGAAUAUCUUUUAAUAAGUUUUUGACCCUUGAAUGGCCUCCAACUUCCUUGGCCUUUGCAUCGUCUACAUAUGAUCGAAUGUGUCUCAUUUCUCUGUGGAGCCAAUCUAUGUCCUCUUUUAACCAAUAUAAACGCGUUCCUUCUUGAAAGAGUACAUUUCCAGCUAUUUCUAUUGAUUUAUUGAUGACUGCUGUGAGAAGAAUUUCAGCCAUCUCUUUUUUCCUUAAAUUUCUUUUUUCUAAAUGUGAGGAUUAGCAAGGGAAAGUAAGAGAAAAUUAAAAGAUGAUCAAUUAUUGGUAAAAGGAUAAGAAAGAUGCAGUAUUUGCUUUAGGUGUUGGAGUCAACGGCCAAGUCUACUAAUAAUAAUGUCAAGUAGAUGAAAAAGAAAGAACAAAUGGACAGAAACAACUACUCCGUUCAUAUUAAAUACAAUAAUUCAUCUUUUCUUAAUCAUAUUAGCUGGUAUUUUGUUUUCAAGCAUGCAGGGGCGGACCCACCGUUACCCGAUGCCCUUCGUCGAAAAAUUACGAGGUCAAAUUUUGAUUUUAUAAAUAUAUAUAUAUAUACAAGUAUUAACACAUCUGGACACAAGUUAAAAGGUUUCGUGUAUUAAGGUGUUACGAAAGUUCCUUGAGGUAGUGUGUUUUUGUGCUAUUAGCCUCAAAUUAUAUUUUUUUAUUACAAUCAUUGACACCUUAAUGACAAUCUUUGGAUCCACGUUAAAAGUCAGACAAUUGAUGCAGUACUACGCGAAAAAUUCAAUGGCAAAGAUGAGUUCACACCGAAGCUUCUGGAAUCUCCUUCGUCCGAUUAUAUUUCAGUUCAUUAAAACAAGGGAUAAGGGCCUGAAAAAUAUUCCAACUUUGGUCGAAUUUGCUGUUACGAUACUAAACUUUCAUGAGGACCUAUUACCUCCCUAGACUAUUUAAUACCGUAUUUUAAACAUAUAUAUUUGCCCACGUGGACAUAAAAAAUAAUGCAAAAUUAUAAAUAGUAAUGUGUCCACGUGGACACAUAUAUACCUUUAAAAUACACUAUUAAAUAGUUCAGGGGGUAAAAAAUACGGUAUUAAAUAGUCUAGGGAGAUAAUAGGUCCUCAUAAAAGUUUAGUAUCGCAACAACAAAUCCGACCAAAGUUGGGGUAUUUUUCAGACCAUUGUCCCUUAAAACAAGGCAAAAAUACUCAUUACCCCCUUGAACUUGAAACUUUUUAUACGGUGUGCACCUAAACUAAAUUCCAUUUUAAUUAACUCCGAACUUGUUUAUUCCUCCAUCACGUACAUCUUUUUCGUCCACCUGCUCCUAUUGUGUAUUCCUCCAUUAUGUACACCUUUUUCGUCCACCCGGUCCUAUUGUGACUACACGCGCGCGACAGCUGGCAAAAGUGGUGAUGUGGAUUUCCACCUGGAUAUAUAAUAGCCACCUAGAUAAAUUAAUAUUGCAAAAAAUAAAUUUCCUAAAUUUAAAAUUCAUUGUUUAAAAGUUAUUUUUGAAUAAGGGUUGAUUUCGCGGAACUCCUUGAAUUUCAAAUUUGUCUGAAAUUCUUACCAAGUAAGUGUUAAUCUUUGUUUCCUUUACUUUUCAUUUACAUUUUCGUCGCGUACACCUUUUUUUUCCACUUACUCCUGUUGGGACUACACGCGCGCGACAGCUGUCUAAAUUGGUGAUGUGGAUUUCCACCUGGAUAAAUUAAUAUUACAAAAAAAAAUAUUCUUAAAUUUUAAAUUCAUCGUUUAAAAGUUAUUUUUGAAUAAGGGUUGAUUUCGCGGAACUCCUUGAAUUUCAAAUUUGUCUGAAAUUCUUACCAAGUAAGUGUUAAUCUUUGUUUCCUUUACUUUUCAUUUACAUUUUGCCCUAUUUUUCAUUUAAAAUAUGCCAAAUAUUAAACAAAAAUGGAGAUUUUACGUUGUUUUUUUUUACCGUUGUAGCUUUGUGAUGUGGCAAAAAAUCACUUCCUCACGCGCCUAGUAGAGUGUGUUGUCAAUUUCUACACCAGGUGGACGAAAAGGUGUACGCGACGGAGGAAUAAACAAGUUCGGGGGGGUAAUUAAAACGGAAUUUAGUUUAGGUGUACACCGUAUAAAAAGCUUCAAGUUCAGGGGGGGUAAUGAGUACUUUUGCCUUAAAACAAUUGUUAAAUCUUUAUUAUAUAUUUCAUUUUCAAACAAGAAUAAAGAAUUUUUAGAGUCGUCAGCCGAUUGAAGCAGUAUAUGAUUAUCCCACUAGAAUAUAUAUAUAUAUACGUGGCACUAUCUUGUGGGCCUAGCGCGUGUUGACAAUUUUUUCAAGGAUAGUGCCACGUAGGCCGAAAAGGGGUAGAAAAUUAUAUAUAAAAUAAAUUCAAGGGGGUAAUAGGACCUUAGUAAAAGUUAGGUGUGUCUCAGAGAUUUUGGGCAUAGAAUGGGGGUACUUAUGCAUUUUCCCUAUAUAUAUCACCAAAGAUCGACGACCUUGGCUAUAUUUAUAUUGGAAAAAUGUUAGAAAAUAUUUUAUAUAAAAUAUAACAUAUUGUUUAUAUAUAAAUAUAUUUGCAUACUAAGAUUGUUCGGUUCGAAAGGUUUUUGAUUUUAUUUUAAAAAUUAAAAAGUUCAUCCCAAUUGUUUGGCACAGUACACACUUAAACAAAAAUCCACGAUUUUAUUAAAUAUUUAUAUAAUAAAUCGGUUUGAUUCGAUUGCUUCAGUCGAUUUUUCAUGUUCUUAUGACACCCCUACAUACAAUCAUAUAUAUCAUACAAUCAUAUAUAUCGCACUUACCUAUUACUGAAAUGACUACUUUUUUAUUACUUCCUUUAAUACAUUUGCAAAAUCAAACCCAAGUGUAUGUAUCAUUGGCUCAUUACUAAUUGUCCACCAUUCUAUGCUACAUGAUUAACACAAUGUAUCACUUUUCUAUCUGUGUUCGUACUUCGUAGUUUGCACCAUGAACACAUAAAUCACAUAGGGAUAUUGAAAAUAUUGUCCACUGCCAGAGAUAUUUCGCUGCAUUGUACUUUUCAAAGAGCUGCUUCCCUAUUCCAAAAAGAGAAUAAGAGAUUAAACAUUUCGAAAUAGAAAGCACUAAACCAAUAAAAAUCCAUAGCCACAUUUAAAAAAUUACUAUGGAGAACAUGUGUGUGAGAGAGAGAAAGCAAGACUGUUUUACUCGAAAAUAUAAAAGAAAAAGAAAAAAUGACUGAGUUUCGAAAAAUCGAUCAAACUUAUGAUUUAAGAGAAAUCGAAUUUCCAAAAGAACAGAGUCGCCACUAAAUUUUUAAUAAAAAUCAAGAAAAAACUUAAGGUUUUCAAAAGACUCAAACAGAUAAAAUCAAUCGAAAAAGGGUUCGAGUUCAAUGUACAUUCCGAGAAGGUGUUAGGACCCUCGAAAUGCCCGCUAACUUGCGGUUGACCGGCGAUUUGACUAAAAAUGAUUUUGACUAAUUUUAAAAUUUUAACUAAGUAAAAGAACUCAUAACGACUUUGACUAAUUUUGAAAUUUUAACUAAGUAAAAGAACUCAUUUACUUUAACUUAUUUUUAAAAAUUUUAACUAAGUAAAUGAACUCAUUUAUUUUAACUUAUUUAUUUAUUACUAUUAUUAUUUUCAUCACUUUAUUUUUAUUAAUGUCAUUUAAUUAUCUUAAGGGGAAAUGAACCAAGGGAUAAUUUUUCUAAAGGGGAAUAAUUUAAGUGACGAGACAAAUAAUAAAGUAAGAGCUAAGUAAUAAAAUAUAUAUACUUUAAUUUGGAAAAUAACAUGAAAUCGCCGUCUUUGGGAAUUUAAUUAAAUUAAACCAUAAGAUAAUCAAGGUUAGUCAAACAAUACAAUAUAAAUAAAGACACAGUAACAUUCUUUUGUGUAACAAAGAUGUCUCAAUUUUUUAGACUCCCAAACACCAAAAGGAAGUUUACUAUAGCUAUGAAAUAUAUCCAGGGUCUCUAGACAUUUGAGCUUGACAAUACUAUUUGGCAAUUUUACUCUAAUUCUCCCCUCCAAUCGCACAUAGCGUAGGCAACUCAUGUUCCCAAUUUUGUUUGGGAUAGUAAUUACAUGCUGAUAACGAUCUCGAGACGUGACUACAACCAACACUUGCAAUAAUUUGAAACUAAGGUGAGCCAUAUGAGAAAAUAGGCAACUGUUAUUGUUGAAACAGAAAAGUGCACGAAGCUUCGUAGGUUUAGGAUUUGAACGGAAGAACUCAUUCAUGGCAUUAUUAUCAGAGUAGAAUGUAAUCCUUCGCACCCUAGCAACAUUGCUGGGAUCACCAAAUGCAUUGUGCUCGGUGUGAAAGAAGUUACUUUCCUUAGCCAAAUCCACACACAAACUAUGUAACAAGUCAUGUAUGCGACAACUUGAAAUUCUUCCAUCAUAUGUCCUUUUGGCAACUUGAAUCAAGUUUCUUGAAACCAAAUCAUUUAGGAAAUCCUCCGCCAAAUUUUCAGCUUCUCGCAUAUUGCCACUAUUUACAACUAUCAACUUCUCAGCAAUCCACAUAUUUGUCAAAUCAAAAGCACGAAUUUCAUGGUCCUCGGGGAAAAGACCAAAGUACAAGAAACAUGGCCUUAAUGCAAUGGGCAAAUCAUUGUAACUCAGAGCCAAUACCUUAGCACAUCCAUCUUGAACUUUAUGGCUCAUACUCUCAAGUAACCUGUUCCAUGCACGUUCUGUUCUUUCUCUUGCCCUUAACAUGCCUGCAGUCACCACAAUGGCUAGUGGUAUACCACCACAUCUACCAACUAUACUUCUACCAAUAUUUACCAAGUCAACUGAAUGAUUAUUAUCAAAAGUAAAGAUUUUCUUGGUAAAGAGUUUAAAACUAUUCUCUGAAUCUAGAGGUUGCAAUACGUGGAUUGAGAAAUCCCCUCCUAUGUAUCUGCCUACAUUACUAUUUCGAGAGGUUAUAAUUAUCCUACUGCCAAUUUUUGAAUCACAUUCAGGAAGAAGAACAAGUUUUAGAUCAUCCCAAAUUUCAACAUUCCAAAUGUCAUCUAAGAGGAUAACAUACCUUUUUCUUUUCAAGAGUGAUCUUAGGUUGCCUUCCAAGUUAUCUUUCCUUUCUUCUUUCGUCAGUCCAACUUGUUUGGCUAUGUCAAGCAAGAUUUCUCCCGCCCUUGGCUUCUGUGAAACAUAGACCAAAUAAAGUUAAGUGACUGUCUAAGAUAAUUAUUCCUAGUUGAGUGAUUUUCUAAGAUAACUACACAUAUGUAAUGACCCUCUUGGUCAUUUUCUUGUUUUGCCUUCUGUGUGUCGUUUAGAGCAUUUCUAUAGCGACCCCAAGUCAUUUAUGGCUUGCUGGGACUGACAGUUCGGUCACCUGGUCGUUCGUUUGGUCAUAAUUUGAGUUUUAGUGUUUUGGAGCUUAUGAACUUUAAACGAUCAUUUUCGAUCAAAAGUUCAAGAAGAUGACAUCGGAAUCCAAUUCUGACGAUUCCAUCAGCUCCGGAAGGGUCAUUUUAGGCUAGAAGCAUGGUCGGCAUGACUCCCGAGGUUUUCAGUGUGAGUUGGUGCGAUUAGGCGUUUUAACCUUUGAAAUUUGGCUUAGGGUUGACUUUGGUCAACAUUCUUGGAAAACGAGCUCGGAUGGAAAUUCCGUCAGCGUGGUUAGCUCCGGAAUGUCGAGUUUGGUCUAGAUUGACCCUUCUUUGUGUCUGGAGGUUUUCGAUAUCUUUCCGAGCCUUUUUUGUGGGUUUUGACUUAAAUGGCUUUUGGAAGUGGUACCCACUUUUUAUCGAAAUGACCUCUGAUGGAAAUUUCGACUGCGCCGUUGAGUCUGGAAUAUCGAAUUUGGUAUGGUUGCAUAUCUCGUUUGCGUGCACGGGGUUCCGAACGAGAUCGGAGUACCCCGUCGGAAUUUUAAGUUUGGAAGUGUUGCAGAUUUUCUGCAAUUUAUUGCAGAAAAUCAGCAACAUUUCCCAAAUUCCAAACCCUCACAACUCUCUCAUCACUCAACCGAUUUGGGUGAUUCAAAAGGCAAAGUUGUGAGAUUUUUUCGAGGGCAACAUGUUGGUGAGCUUGGAUAGUGAUUUGGAGUCCCCGUUUGAGGUAAUUUUCGAAAAAAUACCUGCUGCCAGACCUCUUUUUGUGAGUUUGAUUUUGGAAAUUUUGAGACUUGUUUUCUUAGCCAUUGUAGAUCCGAUUUUGGUGAUUUUUGAGGUAAUCUUGAGUGGUUUUUCGAGGAGAACGUUGUGGUGUUGUUAGAUUUUACUGUAGACUGCUCGUUUUUGGUAAAUACACUGCUGUCCCAUUUCUAUCUUUGAGAAAAUUUGGGUUUUGGUUGUAUGUUGGUAGUGUGUUGUUCCCGAGCCCCGAAUUGUGUCCCAUUUUGGGAUAUGAACUGGGGGAAAACUGGUUAGGACCCACUUUUGGGGUUAAUUUCAGAAUUUCCAGCGCGGGUCCCACGAUUCCCGUUUUGACUCCAAAAUUGACCCGUCUCCGUUUGUUGUGAUUUUAGUGUCUAAACGAAUGUAAUAACGUUGUGAUUCUAUUUUUGAUAGCGGGGAAGCGUUUUGAGGACGUUCGGAAAGGGAAAGCUCCGGAGAAGUGAUUUUGGAGCGCGUGUGAUUGGCCUACAGGUAGGCUACGGUUUGGUAACUGUGAGCAUGCUUUGUGUUAUUAACGGACCCUCCUCGCUAUGUGGAGUACUUGCAUGCUUAAUUACUGUUUAUUUGAAGCAUGUUGGACCUUAGCUUAGGUUUGACUAGGGCUUGCCUUAGAAAUACAUGAUUCGGAUUCGAUAGGCCUUAGUUUUACCCCGAUGUCGCUCGGCUGACUUAGAUCCCUGUAGACUGAUAUAGCAGACUUGAGUCUGAUAGUUUGGGCCUUAUCUAGGCGAUACGCUUUUUCCGAUAAUAGUUAUCCUUAUUUUCUCCGAUACUGCGGCUUCACGAGUUGCAUCGGCAAUACUAGUUCUACUUCGCGAUUUGAAUUAGAUUUUCGAUUUGGUUCCAAGGACUUUCAUUGAUUGGCUAUGUGUGGACGACAUUUCACGGACAUUUAUAAGUACGGAUCGAUUGAGACUCCUUCAGAAGUUACAUUGGCAAAAUCAUAGAGCAUCCGGUUCGAGGUCCGGCCUCUAUUGCGUCAGAUUCUACUAAUUAGGGUUGAGGUUCUGGUUCGAUGUUCUUCGUUCAUGGGUUCUUUUAUGCAAUUCUCUUUAGUUAUAGUUAUUCUGUGUACUCGUCGGGCUUAUGGGGGUCCGUUCGGGUUUUAUAUACUUAAUACUGGUGAUUAGUUACUUGGGUACUUAUAUGGAGCAUCCGGUUCGAGGUCCGGCCUCCGUACUGUCAGAUUUUACUAAUUGGGGUUGAGGUUCUGGUUCGUGUUCUUCGUUCAUGGGUUCUUUUAUGCAAUUCUCUUUAGUUAUAGUUAUUCUGUGUACUCGUCGGGCUUAUGGGGGUCCGUUCGGGUUUUUAUUUAACUUGCGCACGAGUGUACCUUCUGGGCUUAUGGGGGUCCAGUUAGGUGUAGUUAGCUUGUAGAUUACUCUAGUUAGUUCUUUAUACACUCGUGUGCAUUUCAUUGUUAGUUAGAUUUUAGUUCUUGACUUCGGUUUGUGUUAUUCCUUCUUUUCAUACUGCCUUUACUUUUCAAGUUCAGUCGGCCUAUGAUGCCUACUGGGUACCUGUUGUUUUGGUACUCAUGCUACGCUCUGCAUCUAUUUCGUGAUGCAGGUCCGGGCACUAGAAGCCAGCGUUGAUCGAGCUUGGAGCAGACUGAUCCGGAGACGGGAGUGAGCACACGACGUUUUGUACUAUUUCAGUCUCCAUCUGUAUAUAUAGACUUGUCUUUUACCUUUCGAGACAGUCCAGUCUCUGUUGUCCACUUUUGGGACUUGUACUCAUUUUGUUAGUAGCUCUGUACUAGUGACUUCCAGGUUCUGGGAGGGAUCUUUAUUUGUAUAUAUGUUUUUGGUUUGCUUCCGCCUGUUUAUAUUGUUAUUUGCCUACUCUUGUUUAGUUUCUACCCUCAGACCCAUUACUUGUUGUUCCGGUUUACGGGUUGGCUUACCUACUGGUGGGUAGUAGGUGCCAUCAUGACUUGAGAAAUUGGGUCGUGACAAGUUGGUAUCAGAGCCCCAGGUUUAUCGGUCUCACUUGUACAGAGCUAACGUCUAGUAGAGUCCUGCAUAUCGGUGCGGAGACGUCCGUAAGUAUAGUUGAGUGACUUUUGAUUUACAAAAUAAAGUCAAGUGACUUUCUGAGAAAACUAUCAAUAGUUGAGUGACUUUUGAGAAAGAUAUUCAUAGUUGAGUGACCAUUUGAGAUAUUAUCUCAAAAGGCUUUUAUUUAGAUUAAUUUCUUAGUAAAAGAUAAGGCAAGAAGGAACUACAAAUUUUAAAGUACAACUUUUGAUAAGUUAUUCUUUUUUUAAAAACCUAACAAAAUAUUAUUUAUAGUGAACAAAUCAUCUGACAAUAAACCAAGUCAAUUCUUCAUAAUACCCAAGUCUUAUUAACUUCACCGAGUGUUAAUCUGAUAACAAUAUCAAUAAGUUAAUUUUGUGGUUGAGUUAUGGUAUACGUUUCAAUCUUGAACCGUAUUCUUAUUUUCUUAAAGAAUCAUAUUCUUAUUUUUUUCCCUAAUAACUUUAAUUAAUAAAUAAGUAGAAAGAACUAUUUUUUUCUUCUUAAUAUCAUUUUAUCAACGGAAAAGGGUCAAAAUUGCCCCUGAACUAUGUGAAAUAGACCACUUAUACCCUUCGUUACAUUUUGGGAUCAAAAUUGCCCCUGCUGUUAUCCUAAGAGACCACAAAUACCCUCAAGAGUUAACACCCCAAAUUUUUAAUUGACGUGGCAAGUUACAUGGGACUAAUUCUUCCACCUAAGUGUUGCCAAUUAGGAUUCACUAAAAAAGAACUAGACCUUUAGCAGCGACAACAGUCGCCACAAAAGCCCAGAAAAUCGUCACUAAAAGUUUUUAACAUUAAAUUCUAAUUUUGUGUUUUUUUCUUCAUUGUUUUUAAAAAAUUAAAAUAUCGAUUAAGUAGGAGUUUUAAGACACUAUAUGUUUUAUUUUUAUGUCAUAUGUAAAUGUAUAAAAUGUACAAUGAUGCAUUAUUAUAUAGUAGGAGAUUUAAAUCGAGAAGUAAUUUUGAUGAUUUUUCGUAAUAAUAUUGGAUGUUUUUUAAUAUUGAUAUUGCAAGUUAUUUAUUUUAGAAAAUUAGGUUGCAAUAUAAAAUUAAUUAUCAUAUUUUUUUUGUUGAAAAAAUAGGUUUUAUUAGUGAAUGGUUGUUGGAGCUUUAGUCGCCACUAAAAAUCACUCAUAACCUUUAGUGGCAAUAUUUUGAGAUUUUGUGGCGACUUUCUCGCCACUAAAGGUCAAGUUCUUUUAUAGUGAAUCUUAGUUGGCAAUGCUUAGGUGGAGGGAUUAGUCCCAAGUGGCUUGCCACAUCACUAAUAAUUUGGGGUGUUAACUCUUAAGGGUAUUUGUGGUCUCCUGGGAUAACGACGAGGGUAUUUUUGAUCCCAAAAUGUAAUGAAGGGUAUAAAUAGUCUAUUUCACAUAGUUUAGAGGCAAUUUUGACCCUUUUUCAUUUUAUCAAUUAAAAUAGAAUAAAUGUACAUAUCUUUUUAAUUGAUAAUAUUGGUCAUACAUAUAGGAGCAUAGUAAUUAUACAAUUUGUUUACUACUAGUUCUAACUAUUUUGUAUUAAUCAAAUAUAACUUAAAGCUAAAAAGAAAAGUACCUGAUAGGUUGGAAUUUAGCUGAUGCAGUUCCUUGAUUGGAGUAAAUAUUAAUUAUAAGUGUUUUUUUCAAAAGAUGGAAAUUGACAAAUUAACCAAUAACUUCAAUUCUAUUUAUAAGUAUAUUUUUUAUAAAAAAAUAAAUAAAUUAGUUCAAUACUUGACUUGAAUGUGAGGGUAAGAUGGGCCAUAAUUUCCAAUUUAUUCUUUACUUAAACCAUAUAUAGGCAUCUUACCUUUUUUCUCAUGAAAAAGUAAAAGGAAAGUAUAAUGUUGGAGAAUUAAAAAAAGAUAAUCAUAUUUUCACUUUUGUCUGGAUGUAAAUGUUACAAAAGAAAUAAAUGAAUAUUUCAAACGGAAGUAUUUCUCGUGAAGAACUCUUUUUUCACUUUAGUUGUAAUUAUUCCAUCGGUAGUUUUGUUACAUAUUAGUUGAUCAUUUUAUUAAAAAUAUAUAGUUGUUCAUCUUUCUAAAUGAAGAAAGCAUUAAUUUUUUUUCCUAUAUUAUCCAUGCAAUUAAUUAUUUUUUAUAGUGUUCACAUUUGUUUAUUAAAUUUUCAAGAAUUUUUUUAAAGAAUGAAUUAAUAAAAUUAACUUCUUAUUUAUGAUACUUAGUAUGCUUGUAAAAAGGAAAAUGAUCAACUGAUAUCGGGAGAGUACCAGAGGCGUAUGUACAUGAAGGGGAGUGGGUUCACAUGCACCCAUCCUCCCCUUCCUAACCCCUAUAUAAUACUACUAUUUUCUAAUUAUCUUUUCAAAUUUGUAUUGGUGAACCCAAGGUUAAAAAGAAUACUCUAGUAUAUUGAUAAGUAUGUACAAAUAGAGGGUGCAUAACUUAUAGAUUUGUGGUUCAAAUUUUUAUAUCCACAUUAAUAUUUUUAAUUUUUAAUUAAUAUAACAAAAUGUGCCACUUUUCAUAGAUCUUUUUAAUAAUUUAUAAAUAAAAAGAGGUCCAAAUACCCAUAUUUUUAGGUUGCAUUAGCUAUGUCUAGACCUUAAGCUAGAAAUGUCAAUAAAGUCAAAUUAUAUUUUUACUUUCUUUUUCUCCUUUCCUUCUUUAGACGUUUUUCUUAUUUAUUUAUUUUAACUUUUUCUUUUGACUUUUCAAAGUCCUAAUCUGAAAGGUAAAAAAGAGUAAAGACAUCAUAUUGUUCUUCUUUUGGCUUCAUUCCACUUUGUUGUUCAUGGUGAAGUAGAAGUGGGAUUUGAGAACAAGUAACAAGGUAUGCUAUCUAAAAAUAAAUAAAUUAUUUAUUAAUGUACUUCAUUUGUUUUAUAUGUUUUUCUUGAUUUAUGAAGUGGUGCCAUUAUUUGAUUGCUUGAAUAAUUAAAUUUAUAAGAAUUUCUUGAUUUCUAAAUAGUUAUCUAAGAAUUGUGAUUCUUUUAUUAGUAAACUUGUUAUUUGUGUUAAUAUUUUUUAAAAAUUAUUUUGUUUUGAUAAGAUUGAAUAGAAGUGUGAAUAUUUAAUUUUGUAGGUAAAAUAAUUCUUACAUUCAAAUCAUCAAAUCACAAAUGGAUAAGUUUCUCAUCAAGUUACCAAAGCCUAAAGAUGGCCAACCAAGUUCUAGCUCUAAUAAACCAUUUGUGAGUUCACAAGUUGCUCCGGAAGUUCAAAGACAUAUAAAUUCUUUUCCACUUUUAAAUACGGAUAAUAUGCUUGAUUUUAAAUCUCUUGAAGCAGAUCCCAAAGACCGAAUGCCUAUUUCAUCUUAUGGUCCUAAUAUUCGAGAUGCGGUAAGGAGGUAUUACAUUCAAAAAAAGCCAUGUCAACUUGUUGAUCAUAUCUUCCCUAAAACUAAGUUUGGAGAUAAAAUGCGUCAAUUUCGACCAACUUGGUUUAAGAGAAGAUCUCAAUGGUUGGAAUAUAGCAUUAAAGCAGACGCGGCAUUUUGUUUGUGUUGUUAUUUGUUCAAGAUUGAACUUGAAAGACUGUCGGAGAUUCAUUUACAAGAGCUGGUUUUAGGUGUUGGAACAAAGCUUUAGAAAGAUUCAAAAACAUGUUGGUAAGGUAAAUAGUAUCCAUCAUAAAUGUUUCAAUAGGAUGCAAGAUUUGAUAAACCAACGACAAUUGAUCCAAUCUUCUUUUGACAAGCAAAGUGAAAAGGCAAGAAGUGAUUAUCGGAUGCGUUUAAAUGCCUCAAUUGAUGUAGCAAGAUUUCUUUUGACAUCGGGAUUUCCAUUUCGUGGACAUGAUGAAAGUGAAGGUUCUGAAUAUAAGGGUGCUUUUCUUGAACUUUUGAAAUGGUAUGGGAAUAGAAGUUUUGAUGUGGGAAGAGUAAUAUUAGGUAAUGCUCCACAAAAUGAUAUGAUGAUUUGUCCGACAAUUCAAAAAGAUAAUGUGGAGGCUUGUGCUAAAGAAACAACUAAGGCUAUCAUUGAAGACUUGGACGGUGACUAUUUUGCAAUAUUAGUUGAUGAAUCAAAUGAUGUUUCUCAUAAGGAGCAAAUGGCUCUAAUUUUGAGAUAUGUCAACAAAAGUGGAAUGGUGAUAGAGUGAUUCUUGGGUAUUGUCCACGUAAAUGAUACAUAUUCUCAAUCAUUUAAAAAGACAAUUUAUUCUUUGCUUUUGGAUCACUCAUUAUGUACAUCCAAAAUACGUGGUCAAGGUUAUGAUGGGGCUAGUAAUAUGCAAGGGAAAAUAUGUAACAACCCAGAAAAAAUUUAAGCUAAGACUUGAACUAUUCUUCGUUGUGAGUAGGGUUUUUUCGAGGAAUUAAAAUUUCUUAAGUGUUAAGGUCACUAGAUGUAGCACCUUGAGUUCGAGAAGGAAUUAAAUUGGAAAUAGUAAAAUCUGAAAUUUUGCAAGUUAUGAUUAAGUAUGAGUUUUGGGUCGACUUAAAACGACUAUAACUCCUAGCUCAGGAUGAGUUAGGUGUAGAUAAUUUUAUUGUCUAUGCUCAAAAGUGUGAUAGCAAGUUUCUCAACUUGAAGGGAAUCAAGCAUCUUAGCGAAGAUCUUUGAAUUAUAUUUCCAACGCCACCAAAUUUGCUAAGUUUCGAGUUCGAAAGAGUGAGAUAUGACCUUUUGAAGUUAGGCUGUCCAGUUAAGGAAAGUCAAAAUCGGAUUUUAGAGGGGUAUUUUGGUCUUUUCCAUACCCAAUCAGAUUUAAUUCGUUUUUAGUAAUAUUUUAAGGGUAUAAUCUGAUUAGGUUCAGUUUAAUAAUCCUAGUUUACGCCUAGGGUUUUAGUUGAGAUUUCAAGAAGAGAAAAGAAGAAAAGAGAAGAAGAGAAAAGAGAAAGGAUGAAGGCGUUUGUCGACGUUCUUGAGAGUUGUUGCGGAUUGUCUUAUUGAUAUGAAAACUCGUCGAGGACAAUUGUAAGUGAAUGAUGGAUGAAGAUCUUUUGAAUGGUUGUUUAGUUUGCUAUAUAGAGCGUAGUAUAUUUAAAAAUGUAAGUAAUGAUGCCAUUAUUGAUAUGAAAACUCGUCGAGGACAAUUGUAAGUGAAUGAUGUUUUUUGCUAAUAUAUUACUAUAUAAAGAUUGCUACUACCUACUUUCUCGUCAACUUGUUCUCACCGUAAAAUUUAUAUAAUUGAAUUAAUUGUCUAUUUUGAAGAUAAUGGUGCCCCCAUGUUCUUGAGAUCCUGGAUACGCCUUUGACUCCAAGGCCUGUAUCUAUUUAACAAUAAAUUGCAGGGACAUAUUCCAGAGACGAUAUGCCAUUUAUCUAAUUUGGUUGAAUUAUAUCUGUAUGGUAAUAAGCUCUCUGGGUUAAUUCCAGAAUGCUACAACUGCUUUCUUUGCAUUCUAACAAAUUAUCUUUAAACUUUCCGUUGAGCCUUUGGAAGAUGAGUAGUCUUCUCUAUCUAAGUGUGUCACAGAAUUCAAUAGAGGGAGAAGUUCCAUCAGAUAUUGGAGGACUGAAAGCCAUUGUAGAACUAUAUCUUUACAGUAACCACUUUUCAGGAAUGAUACCAAGCACAUUCGGGGAACUCCAAAACCUGCAGUAUCUUGAUCUGUCCAACAAUUCUUUUUUUGGCCAAAUUCCAUUAUCCUUUGCCAACUUGAUAAGCUUAGAUUACUUGAAUUUGUCUUUAAAUGCCUUGUCCGGUACUAUUCCUAAGUCUUUGGAAAAACUCGCAUACCUUAAAAGCAUUAAUGUUUCAUUUAAUGAUUUAGAAGGUGAAAUACCGAGUGGAGUGUUUGAAAAUUCCACUUUGCAAUCAUUUCUCGGGAACAAAGGUCUUUGCGGAAUGCACAUAUUGGAGAUUCCUGCUUGUGCUAUCACUAAUCCCAGAAAACAAUCAAAGCUUAAGGAGGUUGUGCUAAAAAUUGUUACUCCAGUGGUUAUUGCAUCCUUUCUGAUAUUCUUGUUCGUUUCAAUUUGGAUAAUGAAACGACAGAGAAAGGGAUGUCCAAAGAUGUUGAAAAGGUAUUGGAGAUCGGGACUCAUCAAUUAAUUUCUUAUCAUGAGAUUCAACGAGUAACAAAUAAUUUUGAUGAAUCCAAUUUAAUAGGUGAGGGAAGCUCUGGCUCUGUGUACAAAGGAACAUUGUUUGGUGGAACUGCAGUGGCCAUUAAGGUUCUCGAUUUGGAAAAUGAGCAAGUAUGCAAGAGGUUUGAUACCGAAUGCGAAGUGAUGAGAAAUGUUAGACACAUAAAUCUUGUUUCAGUGAUUACUACAUGUUCUAAUGACUAUAUAAGAGCCUUUGUUCUGCAAUUUAUGCCCAAUGGAAGUCUUGAGAAUUGGCUGUACAAAGAAGAUCGCCACUUGAACCUUCAUCAAAGAGUCACUGUAAUGCUUGAUGCAGCUAUGGCAGUUGAAUAUCUACUUCAUGCAGGGGCAUAUAUAGGAGGGGGUCACCGGGUUCACGUGAACCCAUGGUUCCCUCCGAAAAUCAUAUAUAGUAGUGUUAUAUUUUUUUAAAAUAUUUAAAUAUAGAUGCGUGAACCCAGACUCGAAGUAUCAUAUAAUGUAGUACGAUGAUGAUUGGGUGCACCUCUCUAGGUGAGGUUAAAAAUUUGAAUCUUUUAUCUAUCUUGUUUUAGUUUUCUUUCUAAGAUUUUGUAACUGGUUUGGAUCAAUAAAAGUUAAUUUUGGACCUAUGAUUUUAAAAUUUUAAUGGUUUUCAGUAAAAAGAAUAUAACUGAUCAAAUUUAUGUCUUAGAUCCACCUUAUUGUAAUAGUGCACCCAUUAUCUAUAAAUCCUGAAUACGCCUCUGACUUCAUGGUCAUGUCGCUCCAAUAGUUCAUUGCGACUUAAAGCCAGCAAACGUUCUUUUGGAUGAGGAUAUGGUCGCUCAUGUUGGUGAUUUUGGAAUCUCUAAGAUUUUAGCUGUCAGCAAGUCCAUGGCACAUACAGAGACAUUGGGGCACUCUUGGAUACAUUGCACCAGGUAUAAAAAGCCUACUCUCAUUGAUUUUCUCUUAUCAUAAUUAUAUUUCAAUUGAGUAACUUUUGUGCAAUCCUUUUCUACGAAUAUGGCUCGGAGGGAAUAGUGUCCACUAGUGGUGAUGUUUAUAGCUAUGGCAUCAUGUAGAUGGAGGUUUUGACGAAAAGAAGGCCAACAGAGGAAGAGAUAUGCAAUGGAAAUCUCGACUUGAGAAAAUGGAUUACACAAUCAUUUUCAGGGAGUAUGAUGGACGUUGUGGAUGCCAAUCUUUUUUGUGAGGAAGAACAAACCACUAGUAAAAGUGAAAUGUGCAUAGCCUCCAUGAUAGAAUUGGCUUUAGAUUGCACAAAGGAAGCGCCACAAUCAAGAGUGACCAUGAAAGAAGUAGUGAAGAGGCUUAACAAAAUCAAGAAUGCAUUUCUAGAAACAUAGAAUUGCAAAUUAAUAUGAUGCUUUUUGUUGUUUAAUAAAGUUGUCGUAUAGUACUACUUGAAUUCAUGUAUUGUUUGUAAUUUCAUUUGAGUGAUUAUGUUUUGAAUGCUUGAAAGAAAUCAGAAAUAAAGGUGUUUAGCUGCACGAUUUUGUUUUUUGAAUGUGAUGAAACAAUUAGUGAAUUGAGCACUUUUGAUUUCCUUGUACUAAUUAAUUACUGUAAACAAUUAGGGAAUUGAGCACUUUUCAUUUUCUUGUACUAAUUAAUUACUGACUUCUUUGGACUUUACCUGCACAAGUAUUCCAACAAGCCUAUCUUAACACCAGAGAGUUCCAAAAGAAAAAUUGGUAACCUGAGCCAGCUUCCAAUUUUGUCCUUGGUCGAUAAUCAUUCCCGAAACACUGUUGUCCCUAUCUGAGCCAGCUUCCAUUUUUUCACAAACAGUGUAACAUUUAUAUAAGCGAGCAAUAAACAUCUCUAUUAUAACCUUAGUAAGCUCAGUAUGAGUAUUAUGGUUGAGUUUCAAGCGAAAACAAGUUUAGCAAAAAAGACGAGAAAUAAUGGUAAAAAACACUUUUGAAGUAUCAUUUUUUUAGCGAGUUUCAUGCCUGAAAGGUUUUUUAAUUUCCUGCUUGAACUGCCACCAACUAUUUAUUAGAACAUACCUCUCGAAUUCUAUAUUUAUAUUAAAUGGUUAAGCAACAUACAAUUUUUUCCAAACUUGUCUUAGACUGCAUGACCUCUCAUUGACUUGGUUCUGGACCAUAUAAUAAAUAAUGCAACUUAUUUAAUUAAAAAAAAAUAUGAUUUUAAUAAUACAAGUUGACUGACUUUUCUCAAUCAAUUCCCUUACCCCUCAGUAUACGCAUAAUUGACCUGUCUUCUUGUGGUUUUGUCUUUAUAAAGUUGGCCUAUGUAAUAUUCCUCAAUGAGAUGACAUUUCAAUAACGUGUAAUAAUACAUCACAGAAAAGUUUGUGGAAAUCACAACCAUAUCUAUAAAAUGAUUUGACUUUAAAUAUUUCAUUCAAUAUGAAUUUUAUAGUUUAGGUAUGAAACUUGCAAAACAAAAAUAGUUCAGUGGUUUAUUAACCUAUUCAAUCUUAAACGAAUGCUAUGAUCACUUUAUCUUUCAGUUACAUAUUACACAUAAAAGUUGUUCAAGAAUAUUAUAUAUUCACAACAAUUAUUAAUUAUAGUGAAUGAAAAAAUAUAUUAUGUAUGAUUUCAGAUUCACUGUUAUGUAAUCGAAAUGCACAAACAAGUUUCUAGGGGAAGAUUUACCAUAAUUAUAACGAUGAACAGGCCGUAGAUAAAUUACUUUCUGGGUAAGCAUUGUGCAUGUAGCUAGUUACGACCCGAUUUCGAAGACUAAGGUUUCGAAGCCAUUUUCGCAACUUUGGCAAAUUUUAGUUAGGUUUUGGAAAAAUUUAUAAUUUGGAAGUCGCCAUUUAAUUUUUUAGGAAAAAUUAAGAAAGCCAUUUAAAAGUGGGUUUUAUGAAAGAAAACAUUUCAACAAAACUAGAGUCGGGAAAGGGUUCAAGUAAUUCUCUAAGGAAGGGUUUAGGCAUCUUAAAGAAUCUGCUAACACUUGAUUGACCGAUGGAUUUAAAAGUUGGCUAAUUUUUUUUAAAGAUAACUUAUUACUUGUGAAAAUCUUGUUGAGAAUAACAAAAGCCUUUUGAUACUUAUACACUAAUCUUAUUCCAAGUAAUGAAAUAAGUCAAAUGCUAAAGUGUCAAAAUAAUAAUUUUAAAUUUAACAUUUUAUCCGAGUUAAGAUUUUGAACUAAAUGGUUAGCUCAAUCUCACCAACGUGGAUUCAAAGCUAAUUGCUAACUAUGAAAGAAUAUGGAAAAAUCUCAAGUUAGUCUAAGAGCUUAAGUUGCCUAACUUGAAAGAGUUUUGAAAAUUUAAAUACUUAAAGUAGACAACUAACGAAAUAGAAGAGCCAUUAAAAAACUCCCAAGGAUUCAUCUAAGUUAGAUAUAAGAAGAAAAUGUUAGCAUUUCUAAAAUAAGAACAGAAACAAGAUAACACAAAUAAAUAACAAGAAUCUAGGCUCUUGGCCUAAAAUGCUCCUCACUUACUGUUACGGUAUAAAUUGGACCUUUUUAAGUCCAAAAGUUCCCAAUUUUAGUCCUUUUGGGACUGCUUCUACUGCUGCAAUAAUCAAAUUGGAUUCUUAAAUCCAAAAUUCAAUUUUCGGCCAUUUGGAAUUGUUGUUACUCCGCUACUUAGCUGCUGCCACUGAUUUGGGUUUUAACCCAUUAAUAUUAGCUUCCCCUUUAUAACUUUGGCGGAGGUCGACUCAAAGAAAGGAAGAUGCAAGAGAGGGGAGUCCAAUUGGACUCAUUCGGAGGGAGUUCCUGCAAAGUAGAGAAAAGGAAGAAGAAUUAGCACAUGUAGCGAGAAAAUGACACUUCAGUUUUAAACAUUCAAACACAAGGAUGAAAUUAACCAAAUAAAACUAUCGUGAACAAAGGGGGAAAAGAAACAGAUCCGAAGCUAUUGCUAAGUUCAUAAAUCCACAAAAUGAUUAAUUAGUCACUGGACCUUUUGAUCUAUACAACCAGCAAAAGGCAUACUUACAAUGGCCAAAAUUGUACUAAACAUGCAAACGUAAUCAGCCAUCAGUUAAAUAAAAGAAAAGAUAGUAGCGUUCCGAUUUUAGCUUAGACUUCAUAUAUCAUUGACUAGUGACUUCUUUCACCAAAAACAAGCUCAACGUACAUAUCUAUAACAAAACUACAAAAGCAGACCCCAAAAGCAGAGCCUUCAGGCAACAACUUCUUUUGAAAUCGAAAAACAAAACACCACUUUAUAUAAUUAAGACGAUAAAAAAAAGAAUUCCAGAUUUGAACCAAUGAAAAUCGAACAUAGUCUAACAGAAGGAGUACAACUAUAUUCAGAAAAAUGAGAACUGGACAGAUUUUAAAACAAAGAAAACUAAUUAAAUAUCUCAAACUCAAACCAAUCUUUAAAGCAGGGGAUUUAAAAAAGAUUGCUAAAGCAAAAGACUACUACAAGAAGCUUUACCAGGAGACAAGCAGAGAACAUUCAAUACUAAAUAACACGUCUCAAAUAAUCAGUUUAAGGCACAAAAUAGAAAGAAAUUGCUAAAUGAGCUCACAUUUAAAAAUCAAAACGACACCAACAUCUAUUUUGAGAAACAAAGAAACCUUGAAAUAAUCCGCAUGAUACAGAGGAAUUAAAAGGAGACUUAACCAUCCAAACUAAAAAAUAAAUAAAAAAUGUCUAGCAUAAGACAAACAAGAAGCUUCUCAUCCAUUUCCGAUACAACUAAGAAAAACUAAAACUAUUAAGAGCGAAUUUGCGGGUAUUUAAGAAACUAUUAAGACAAGAAAUAAAAUACUAAGACCUUAGUUUUAAAUCUAAUUAACCAAUUUACAUAUUCAAGUUUUCAAAUCAGUGAACUGUUAGCCAUAACACAUAACAAAAAUUAGCAUCUACAAUAGAAAUUAACAUAUAGAGUAGAAACUAUACCAAGCAAGAAUAAAUAGUCUAGAACAGAAAACUUAACAACAUAAAAAUAAAGAAACUUAUGAGACUAAACCCACAUAAAACAACAAAGAAAUCAUACUAUCCAAAUGCUCGAACCAACUUAAGGAGAGAAAAGAAUUUACCUUUUGCCGAGCAGGAACCAAGACGACGAGCUCGAGAAUGACACCACCUUCAACUCUGUUGGUAAAUUUUAGUAGUAUGAGUUUUAGAAAGCAGAGAAGUCAAGAAGAAUAUUGGUAGAAGAACAUUUUUAUUGAUGUCUUCAGAUUUCAUUUAUAAGACUGGAAUGAAAAACAGAAAGCAGUAAACCCACUACUAGCAUAUUCCUAACUCACUAACUUACUCCUAAAUGAUAGGAAUAAAUGGCUAACAACUAAUUGACUAAGUCUUAUCUAAUAUAAUGCAGUAAAAGUAAAAGUGCAGUUGAAAAAGCAAAUUCCUAACACUCCUCCUUGCUUUGGAAACUGCAAACUCCAAUUUUCUGUCUAAGAAGCUGAAACUUGCCGACUGGUAAAGGCUUAGUGAAUAUAUCAUCCAAUUGUUCUUCCGUCUUGCAGUAGACAAGAGUUAUAUCUCCAUCUUUUUGCACUUCUCUCAAGAAAAAGAACUUGAUUUUGAAGUGCUUAGUUCUUCCAUGAAACACAGGAUUGUGAGAUAUAGCUAUUGCUGCUUCAUUGUCCACGAACACUUUGAUGCUUCCAGUCGGUUCCAUAUGCAAAUCAACCAGAAUUUUCUUCAGCCACAAUGCUUGAUUUACUGCUGCUGCAGCUNNNNNNNNNNNNNNNNNNNNNNNNNNNNNNNNNNNNNNNNNNNNNNNNNNNNNNNNNNNNNNNNNNNNNNNNNNNNNNNNNNNNNNNNNNNNNNNNNNNNNNNNNNNNNNNNNNNNNNNNNNNNNNNNNNNNNNNNNNNNNNNNNNNNNNNNNNNNNNNNNNNNNNNNNNNNNNNCCUGAAGUACUCUUUGCAUCAUCCUCGGAACCGCCCCAAUCACUGUCGGAAUACCCACAAAGCUUCACAGGUUGACUCUUCUGAAACUUGACUCCAUAGGUGAUGGUUCCUUUGAUGUAUCGCACAACUCUUUUGGCUGCCUGCAAAUGUACUUCACUAGGACAAUGCAUGAAUCUUGAUAAAACACUUACAGCAUACAAUAUAUCAGGUCUUGUUGCUGUAAGAUACAUUAAACACCCAAUGAAACUUCUGAAGUAUGUCUCAUCCACCUUUUCGGCUCCAUCAUCUUUACUUAGUUUCUCUUUUUGGUUCAUGGGAGUACUAAUCUCUUUGCAAUUGUCCAUUUUGAAUUUCUUGAGAAUUUCCUUUGCGUACUUUUUCUGGCAAACGAAAAACUCAUCUUUUCCUUGUGUAAUCUCCAUUCCAAGGAAAUAUGUCAUAAGACCAAGAUCAGACAUUUCAAAAGCUGGCAUCAUAGCUUGCUUGAACUCCUCAAUUAGCUUUUCACUGCUCCCUGUAAUCAAAAGGUCAUCCACAUAAAGAGAAACAACAAGAAUCUCACUGCCAUUAUGUUUAACAUACAAUGUGAAUUCUGAAAGACUCUUUUCAAAAUCGAGACCGAGAAAAUAAUCAUCUAUUCGACUAUACCAAGCUCUUGGUGCUUGUUUUAAGCCAUAAAGAGCUUUAUGUAGUCGAUAGACUUUAUCUUCCUUUCCAUCUAUAACAAAUCCUUCAGGUUGCUCAACAUAAAUUUCUUCUUCAAGAAUGCCAUUAAGAAAUGUUGAUUUGACAUCUAUUUGAUGCACUUUCCAGCCACGUUGUGCAGAAACAGUUAUAAGCAAUCUGAUUGUGUCGAGCCUAGCAACAGGAGCAAAAGUGUCAGAAUAAUCUACACCAAAAAUCUGUGCAUAACCCUUAACUACAAGCCUUGCUUUAUGCUUGUUGAUUGAACCAUCAGCAUUUAGCUUGGUUCGGAACACCCACUUUACCCCAAUUACUUUUCUGCCUUGAGGUUUGUCAACAAGUUGUCAUGUAUCAUUUUUUUCGAUCAUAAACAACUCCUCCUCCAUUGCAUUUCUCCAAUUGGGGUCUUUUAGAGCAUCUUUAGGGUUAGCAGGUUCACGAAUCGCAACAUUGCAUCUCUCAUAUAUAUCAGAGAGCAAUCGAGUUCCCCGAACUGGUGGAUCAUCGUCCCUUUCAUUUAACCACGAGCUUGUUUUUUGGAUGGAAUUCCUUGAGUCAUCCCAAUCCCAUUCUUCAUUCUCCAUGAAGUGGACAUCUCUGCUGAUAAUUAUCUUCUCACCUUCAGGUUGAAAGAUUUUGUACGCUUUUGAAACAUUACUGUAGCCAAUAAAAAUGCCCGGGGCAGCCUUCUUAUCUAGUUUAUCCCGUUUGACCUGAGGUACAUAGGUAAAACAAAGACAACCAAACACUUUAAGAAAAUGCAGUGGAGGCUUGUAUCCAUACCAUGCUUCAAAAGGAGUUUGAUCUUUCACAGCUUUUGAGGGAAGUCGAUUUUGUAGGAACAUAGUUGUACUUGCUGCCUCUGCCCAAAACAUCUUUGGCAAAUUCUUUUCGUGCAACAUACAUCUUGCCAUCUCCAUGAUAUAUCUGUUUCUUCUCUCACUAACUCCAUUUUGUUCUGGAGUAUAAGGAGCAGUAAGUUGACGUUCAAUCUCUGCUUCUUCACAAAAUAGAUCAAACUGAUGAGAAUUGUACUCCUUGCCAUUGUCAGAUCGUAAAAUCUGAAUUUUGCAGCAACUUUCAUUUUCCAACUUCGCUUUCAACUUCGAAAAAAUGAUCUUGACCUCCGAUUUAUACUUUAAAAAAUAAAUCCUGCAUCUUCAGGUCAGAUCAUUAAUAAAAAUAACAUAAUAAAGACUACCUUUAAGUGAAGGAGUCCUUUGGGGCCCUCCAAUAUCGGUGUGAACCAGCUGCAACUUUCUUGUUGCUCUCCAAGUUGCCUUUGGGAAUGGAAGUCUACUUUGUUUUCCAAAUUGACAAGCCCGACAAUUUUUAGAACUCGCUCCCAGUUUAGAAAGGUUCUCGACUAUCACCAAUUCUUGCAUUUUGAGAAGCCCUUGAUAAUGAUAGUGUCCGAGUCUCUUAUGCCAUAACUCGGAAGCAUUUUCUCUUGCCGAAUACACCACUUGUUCUUCCUCCAAUGGAUUUAAUGAGAAACUUCUGCCUCUCAUUUUGACUUUAAACAAGUCAUGUCCUGAGGCUUCCUUGAUCAAGCAAUGAUUAUUUUUGAAAUACAAUUUGAAACCUUUUUCUAACAAUUGACCAACACUUAACAAGUUCUGAUCUAAAUCUGGUACAUAAAGAACAUCGGAAAUUGCUUUAGUACCUGAUUGUGUUUCAAUUGUAAUAGUUCCCAUUCCUUUUACCGGAAUAGAACCGCCAUGACCUAUUCUGACUUUUGUAACUCCAGUAGGCUUCAAGUCUUUAAAGAUCUCUUUGUCAUGAGUCAUAUGGUUUGUGCAUCCGCUAUCAAUCAGCCAAGACUCAGUUGAAACAUUGCUUACAAAACACGAUGCCACAAAGAGUUGAUCCUCUUCCUGUUCAUUAACAACCUGGGCAUCUGCGUCUUGCUACUGUAAUUUACUCUUGCAAAUAAUUGCUUCAUGCCCGAGUUGGUUGGACUUACUGCAUUUAGCAUCAGGCCUUUUCCAACACUUAUACGGCGCAUGACCAUUCUUUCCACAAUGCUUACAAGGAGGAUAGUUUCCUUUAAAGCUACCUGUUUUGCUUUUGUUGUUGUAACGAGCUGCUCCUUCUCCAUUUUUUGGCUGGUUCUUCUUAUUGUUUUUCUUUUUGUAUCUUCCACUCUCUUCAUGUUUGGCCGCCAAUGCUCCCUCUCUNNNNNNNNNNNNNNNNNNNNNNNNNNNNNNNNNNNNNNNNNNNNNNNNNNNNNNNNNNNNNNNNNNNNNNNNNNNNNNNNNNNNNNNNNNNNNNNNNNNNNNNNNNNNNNNNNNNNNNNNNNNNNNNNNNNNNNNNNNNNNNNNNNNNNNNNNNNNNNNNNNNNNNNNNNNNNNNNNNNNNNNNNNNNNNNNNNNNNNNNNNNNNNNNNNNNNNNNNNNNNNNNNNNNNNNNNNNNNNNNNNNNNNNNNNNNNNNNNNNNNNNNNNNNNNNNNNNNNNNNNNNNNNNNNNNNNNNNNNNNNNNNNNNNNNNNNNNNNNNNNNNNNNNNNNNNNNNNNNNNNNNNNNNNNNNNNNNNNNNNNNNNNNNNNNNNNNNNNNNNNNNNNNNNNNNNNNNNNNNNNNNNNNNNNNNNNNNNNNNNNNNNNNNNNNNNNNNNNNNNNNNNNNNNNNNNNNNNNNNNNNNNNNNNNNNNNNNNNNNNNNNNNNNNNNNNNNNNNNNNNNNNNNNNNNNNNNNNNNNNNNNNNNNNNNNNNNNNNNNNNNNNNNNNNNNNNNNNNNNNNNNNNNNNCAAGGUAUGUGAGCUUUUAGUGUUGGGUGAUCCUUUCCCCCACACACCUAGCCCUUUUUUUUCUUAUCAAGAAAGGAUGGGCUUGUUGAUAAAGUUGUUAGUUGUUGUGGUUGNNNNNNNNNNNNNNNNNNNNNNNNNNNNNNNNNNNNNNNNNNNNNNNNNNNNNNNNNNNNNNNNNNNNNNNNNNNNNNNNNNNNNNNNNNNNNNNNNNNNUGGAUCCAUUAGGAAGUUCAGGUCCUAUACCUUUGGCUGGGUAUAACAUGCGCUGGCAGCGUGAGGUAGAUCGUUGUAUCAUCACUAUAGCUCUUAAGUGAUGGUUGUCGGUUAGAGAAACUCCCACAAAAGUUAUUGUAUUUUUAUAUGCACGGUUGAUUGUAUUUUUACAUACAUUUCAGAGUUAUGUUGUAUCCUUGCAUACACACAGAGUUGACAGCAUGUUUUUAAAUAGUUUGUUUCUUUAUAUUGCACUUGUUUUAAAUUGCUUUAUAUUCAAAUGAGUUCAGCCAUAUUGAGUUGAGUACCCAGAGUCGAAUAUCAUAUCUUUGAGUUGAGUAUCUAAUCUCUGAGUUGAGUAUCUUAUCCUUGGGUACUUCUGAGUUGAGUAAUUUGAGUAGUUUUGAGUAUCCUUGAGUAUUCCUUGAUUUGAGUAAGUUUCAGAAGAGAUAAGUAUGCUUCCUUUUUAUCAAGUUUCAAGCUUAUGUUAUGCUUUAGAAUUCCCCUUACAUGCUCGUACAUUCCACGUACUGAGUCAUUUGACCUGCACUUUCUCAUGAUGCAGACACAAGUAUUCAGGAUCAUCAACAGGAGCUUCGUUGAUACAUCCGAGAGUUCGAGGUAGCUAUGGUGAGCCUCCUAGUUUCCGAAGGAUUUCAUUUACUUUUAAGUUUAGUCAGGAUGUCGUGGGUCUUGUCCCGACUUCCAUCUUUAUCAAUUAGAGGUUUUCAUAGAUAGUCAGUAUAGUUGAGAAGUCUGUAUCAUUUAUUUUAUUAAAUGUUUUAAAGACUUAAGUUGCCUAUUUUAUGGCGAGUUGAAUAAUUUAUUUUAUUAUUCAGAGUUUUCAUUUGAGUUAAAGUUGUAAUUUAAGUUUUAUGUAACUUUUGUUUCUAGUUUUAAGCUUUGUAUGCUUGAAUCUAGUUUUCCGCUUGUAGUCAGCCGAGGAUGGAGGGUUCGCUUGGGGACCAGCAAUGGUCUUCGAGUGCCGGCCACGUCCAGGGUGUAGGCUCGGGUCGUGACAAAAUAAAUGGUCUCAAGUCUUUAAUUUUACAAGAUACAUCAUCUGCAUAUUCUAUUCACUGUUUUGCUCACCAAUUGCAAUUGGCACUUCUAGGUCUUUCCAAAAAGAAUUAGGAUGUGGAUAAUUUUUUUUAUGUUCUCACUAAUAUUUUGAAUACUAUUGAAGCUUCAUUUAAACGCAGAGAUUCACUUCGACAACAUCAAGAAGAUAAGUUGGAAAAGUUGCUUAAAUUUGGAGAAGUUCAUACAGGGUAAGGUUUGAAUCAAGAACGUGGCCUCCAACGACCGGGUGAUACUCGUUGGGGGUCUCAUUUUAAAACCUUGGACAAUUUCCUAAUUUUUUUUUCUUCAAUUGUUAAUGUGCUUAAGAAUAUGAAACGUGAUUGUCCAUAUCAUCUUGAUAGAUUUGCGGCGGAAAAUCUUUUGAGCAAGAUUCAUGAAUUUGAAUUUGUCUUUAUGUUGCACUUGAUGUUUAAGGUGUUGCUAUUGACGAAUGAGUUGAAUAAAGUUUUACAAAAGAAAGAUCAAAUAUCGUAAUGCUGUGGGAUUGCUUGGCCUUUCAAAGAAACGAUUGCAAAUGAUGAGAGAGGAUGAAUGGGACUCUAUGAUGGAUGAGGUUAGCUUAUUUUGUGGUAAACAUGGAAUUUCAAUUCCCAAAAUGAAUGAAGACUACUCUAAUGGGAAGUCGAAGCGUAAGAGGUCCAAUAUUUCAUAUUUGCAUCACUUUCGUGUGGAAGUAUUUUAUGCCGUCAUUGAUUUGGCACUUCAAGAACUCAAUAAUCGUUUUGAUGUGGUGACUAGUGACUUGCUCCUCGGUAUGGCUAGUUUGAGUCCGGUUGAUUCAUUUGCUAAUUUUCACAAGGAUAGGAUAAUGAAACUAGCCGAGUACUACCCAAGUGAGUUUGGUGAUAAAGAGCUUCGGGAACUCAAUUUUCAACUUGAUGAUUUUAUUGUCUAUGCUCAAAAGUGUGAUAGCAAGUUUCUCAACUUGAAGGGAAUCAAGGAUCUUGCAAAAGUGAUGAUAGAGACAAAACUAGAUCAAACUUGGUCACUUGUGUAUCUACUUGUGAAGCUAACUUUGAUUAUUCCUGUUGCUACCGCAAGCGUGGAAAGAGCAUUCUCAUCAAUGAAGUACAUAAAGAAUGAUUUGCGUAAUAGGAUGGAUGAAGAUCUUUUGAAUGGUUGUUUAGUUUGCUAUAUAGAGCGUAGUAUAUUUAAAAAUGUAAGUAAUUAUGCCAUUAUUGACCGUUUUCAAAAUAUGAAAACUCGUCGAGGACAAUUGUAAGUGAAUGAUGUUUUUUGCUAAUAUAUUACUAUAUAAAGAUUGCUACUACCUACUUGCUCGUCAACUUGUUCUCACCGUAAAAUUUAUAUAAUUGAAUUAAUUGUCUAUUUUGAAGAUAAUGGUGCCCCCAUGUUCUUGAGAUCCUGGAUACGCCUCUGGAGAGUACGUAAUAAAACAACUUGCACUUCGGGUGAUAGUGAAGAAAAUUAUAUACAUUCCCUUUAUUAAAUAAAAUACUUUGAUUUAUUUCUCAUCUUAAACCUAUUAAUUUUCACAAAUAUGAUUACUUAAAAUAAUUAUCAGCCAUAUAUUAUUGAGAAGUUAAUGUUUUUGACGAUUAACACUAGAAAGAAUUUGUAAAAUGUGAGCUAUAUAUCAAUUCCCUACUUGCACUUGCUAUAACAGGUAGUAAUUUAUAUUAGAGGGGUGAAAAAAUCUAAUCGAUCGAUAAACUAAAAUGAAAAAAGUGCUAUUGAUUUAUUGUUAUUGGGUUAUUGGGUCAACGAGGUUUUAAUGGUUUUAUAGAAAGAAAAAAAAUAUUGGGUUACCGGUUCGAUUUUAAUUUUUAAUAUUGGGUUAUUGGGUAUAACGAUAACCCAAUAAGACUAUAAUAAUUUACUAUUUUACUCAUACAUAAACAUUAAAUAUUAAUCGCAAUACCUUACUAGUUAGUGCAUUUGUCCUUUCACCUUCACAUCACACUUCACAGUGAUCACUUUAAGUUCAAAAAUUCACAUUAUACAAAACGUCAAAAUAUAAAGUAAGAAGCAUAUUCCUCUUAGUUUUUUUUUGUGUUACACUUGUAUAAUUCUUUUCAUGUUAGUUAUUAUUGUUUCUAUUUUAUGAGUAUUUGUAAAGUUACGGUAUUAUCUUGCCGCGUUAAAUUGUUUGAGAAGUCAUAUAUUUGUUUUAUAAGUAUUUUCUUAUUGGUUAAAUCAAAUAUCGAACCGCUAAGGACCCAAAACCAAUAAAAAAAUAUUUAAUUGAUUUGGUUAUUGAUUAAACGAAUUUAUAAACCGAUAAAUCAAACCAAUAAAAUACGACCCUAAUUUAUAUUUGCGAGUAUUGAUUAUUGAAGAAGAGAAGAAACGAAAGCUACUGCUAAUUCCAAAGGUAAAUAUACAUAAGUGAUAAGACAAUAAAUAAAUAUGUUUUACAAAUCACAAGCCACAAAUACAUCAAGCAAUCAAACAUUUAUUUAUUUAUUUAUUACAAUUACAAUUUACAAUCAAUCAUUCUGAAAUGCAUCUGCAAUUCAUUAGACAUAAAAUAUUUAGUUGAUUCAUUAAAUAAAAUUGUAAUUAACGUAGCAAACUAACCUAUUGACGCAUUGUGAAUUUCAUAUUCUCAGCUUUGCAAGACGUUCAGAGAGACUAAUUGGAGAACCGCUGCCUUGUACAAGUAACAACUUUUUCAAUUUAGGCAUACUGACAUCAUCCCUACACAUUACUUCAGACAACCCAUCUGGUUCAUUAAUAUGCAGAAAUUCAAGUUGCGGAAAGCUAUCACCACCAGAGAGAUCCAUUUUUUCUUCCAUAUGACUGCACCAAUCCAUUUUAAGUAUCCUUAAUUUGGGUAAUUUCUUAAGCACUGCCACUACAUGACCGUCUACCUUAUAGCGGACAAGAGUAAGCUUGACAAGAUUUGGAGGGAAUGCUUCAGAGUUCAAGCGCAUUGUUCCGCAAACAUUGAUCAAACACAACUUAACAAUAUUUGGAUAGGACGACAAGUUUAUUUGCUCACUCAUGUGCCUGGAAACACUGAGCUUCAGAACUUCCAGCGCCGUUGGCACAGGGCUCAAUGCUGAUAAUAUCUUAACUGUAGAAUCAGAUACUCCUAUUAUACCCAGUUUUCUUAAAUUCAUCAAUCGGUGCAACAAUGUCGCCUCAAAAAAUUUAUCAUCCAGCCACAUCAAAGUUUGUACAUUAUUAUGAGCCAAUGAGUACAAGUUUGGAAAAAUUGGGCUUAUAGAAAAGCAACUGUUAGAUGCUUGAUUAGAACCUCCAUAACAAAGAUGUUUCAAUUGUGUAGACUUCCAAACACCAGCAGGAAAUUUAAUUAAGCUAUAACCAAUAUCGAGGGUCUCUAGACGUUUGAGCUUCAGCAUACAAUUUGGCAGUUUCCCAUAAAUAUGCCCCUGGAAUCGCAGAUAACGUAAGCAACUCAUGUUCCCAAAUGUGUUUGGGAUACUGACAUCACAAAUAUCAUCAACAAAGAUGACUACAACCAACACUUGCAAUAAUUUGAAAUCAAGAUGAGCCAGUUGAGAAAAUAUGCAAGGGUCUUCUGUAAAACAGAAAAGUGCACGAAGCUUCUCAAGCUUAGUAUUUGAACGGAAGAACUCAUUCAUGACAUUAUUAUCAGAGUAGAAUGUAAUCCUUCGCACCCUAGCAACAUUGCCGGGAUCACCAAAUGCAUUGUGCUCGGUGUGAAAGAAGUUGCUUUCCUUAGCCAAGUCAACACAUAAACUAUGUAACAAGUCAUGUAUGCGACAACUUGAAAUUCUUCCAUCAUAUGUCCUUUUGGCAACUUGAAUCAUGUUUCUUGAAACCAAAUCAUUUAGGACAUCAUCCGCCACACUUUCAGCCUCUCGCCCAUUGCCACUAUUUACAACUAUCAACUUCUCAGCAAUCCACAUAUUUGUCAAAUCAAAAGCACGAAUUUCAUGAUCCUCGGGGUAAAGGCCAAAAUACAAGAAACAUGGCCUUAAUGCAAUUGGCAAAUCAUUGUAACUCAGAGCCAAUACCUUAGCACAUCCAUCUUGAACUUUAUGGCUCAUACUCUCAAGUACUCUGUUCCAUGCACGUUCUGUUCUUUCUCUUGCCCUUAACAUGCCUGCGGUCACCUCAAUGGCUAGAGGUAUACCUCCACAUCUCCCAACUAUAUUUCUACCAAUAUCUACCAACUCUGGUGAAGCAUUGGCCCAAUUAUUAUUGUUAUCAAAAAUAAAGAUUUUCUUGGUAAAGAGUUCAAAACUGUUCUCCGAAUUUAGAGGUUGCAACACGUGAAUUGAGAAAUCCCCUCCUAUAUAUCUGACUACAUUACUAUUUCGAGAGGUUAUAAUUAUCCUACUGCCAAUUUUUGAAUCACAUUCAGGAAAGACAAGUUUUAGAUCAUCCCAAAUUUCAACAUCCCAAAUGUCAUCUAAGAGGAUAACAUACCUUUUUAUUUUCAAGAGUGACCGUAGGUUGUUCUCCAAGUUUUCUUUCCUUUCAUCUUCCGUCAGUCCAACUUGUUUGGC